rnacentral:rRNA from 1 species
CAAUAGCGUAUAUUAAAGUUGUUGCAGUUAAAAAGCUCGUAGUUGAAACUUGGGCCUGGCUGGCGGGUCCGCCUCACCGCGUGCACUCGUCCGGCCGGGCCUUCCUUCUGAAGAACCUCAUGCCCUUCACUGGGCGUGCUGGGGAAUCAGGACUUUUACUUUGAAAAAAUUAGAGUGUUCAAAGCAGGCCUUUGCUCGAAUACGUUAGCAUGGAAUAAUAAAAUAGGACGUGCGGUUCUAUUUUGUUGGUUUUUGGAAUCGCCGUAAUGAUUAAUAGGGACAGUCGGGGGCAUUAGUACUCACAUGCUAGAGGUGAAAUUCUUGGAUUUUGUGAAGACUAGCUUCUGCGAAAGCAUUUGACAAGGAUGUUUUCAUUAA